rnacentral:rRNA from 1 species
GGUAAAAAAAAGGUAAGCUACUAAGAGCGAAUGGUGGAUGCCUUGACUGGUAAAGGCGAUGAAGGACGUACUAGACUGCGAUAAGCUACGGGGAGCUGUCAAGAAGCUUUGAUCCGUAGAUUUCCGAAUGGGGCAACCCAAUGUAUAGAGAUAUACAUUACCUAUAUAGGAGCGAACGAGGGGAAUUGAAACAUCUUAGUACCCUCAGGAAAAGAAAUCAAUAGAGAUUGCGUCAGUAGCGGCGAGCGAAAGCGCAAGAGGGCAAACCCAGUGCUUGCACUGGGGGUUGUAGGACUGCAAUGUGCAAGAGCUGAGUUUAGCAGAACAUUCUGGAAAGUAUAGCCAUAGAGGGUGAUAGUCCCGUAUGCGAAAAACAAAGCUUAGCUAGCAGUAUCCUGAGUAGGGCGGGACACGAGAAAUCCUGUCUGAAUCCGGGUCGACCACGAUCCAACCCUAAAUACUAAUACCAGAUCGAUAGUGCACAAGUACCGUGAGGGAAAGGUGAAAAGAACUGAGGUGAUCAGAGUGAAAUAGAACCUGAAACCAUUUGCUUACAAUCAUUCAGAGCCCUAUGUAGCAAUACAGGGUGAUGGACUGCCUUUUGCAUAAUGAGCCUGCGAGUUGUGGUGUCUGGCAAGGUUAAGCAAACGCGAAGCCGUAGCGAAAGCGAGUCUGAAUAGGGCGCUUAGUCAGAUGCUGCAGACCCGAAACGAAGUGAUCUAUCCAUGAGCAAGUUGAAGCUAGUGUAAGAACUAGUGGAGGACUGAACCCAUAGGCGUUGAAAAGCCCCGGGAUGACUUGUGGAUAGGGGUGAAAGGCCAAUCAAACUUCGUGAUAGCUGGUUCUCUCCGAAAUAUAUUUAGGUAUAGCGUUGUGUCGUAAUAUAAGGGGGUAGAGCACUGAAUGGGCUAGGGCAUACACCAAUGUACCAAACCCUAUCAAACUCCGAAUACCUUAUAUGUAAUCACAGCAGUCAGGCGGCGAGUGAUAAAAUCCGUCGUCAAGAGGGAAACAACCCAGACUACCAGCUAAGGUCCCUAAAUCUUACUUAAGUGGAAAACGAUGUGAAGUUACUUAAACAACCAGGAGGUUGGCUUAGAAGCAGCCAUCCUUUAAAGAAAGCGUAAUAGCUCACUGGUCUAGUGAUUUUGCGCGGAAAAUAUAACGGGGCUAAAGUAAGUACCGAAGCUGUAGACUUGCGCACAACUUAGAUUAUUUAAGUUUAGAAUAUGAGAAACUAAGUUAUGUUUAGUUAUAUUUUUACUGAUUUUUAUAGAGUAAAGAUAGAAAUAAAACUUAGUAAAAUCAGUAAAAAUAUUCUUAGGCUAAAGUUAAGUAGUUUAAGUUGUGUGCAAGUGGUAGGAGAGCGUUCUAUUUGCGUCGAAGGUAUACCGGUAAGGAGUGCUGGAGCGAAUAGAAGUGAGCAUGCAGGCAUGAGUAGCGAUAAUUAAUGUGAGAAUCAUUAACGCCGUAAACCCAAGGUUUCCUACGCGAUGCUCGUCAUCGUAGGGUUAGUCGGGUCCUAAGUCGAGUCCGAAAGGGGUAGACGAUGGCAAAUUGGUUAAUAUUCCAAUACCAACAUUAGUGUGCGAUGGAAGGACGCUUAGGGCUAAGGGGGCUAGCGGAUGGAAGUGCUAGUCUAAGGUCGUAGGAGGUUAUACAGGCAAAUCCGUAUAACAAUACUCCGAGAACUGAAAGGCUUUUUGAAGUCUUCGGAUGGAUAGAAGAACCCCUGAUGC